rnacentral:rRNA from 1 species
GAUGAACGCUGGCGGUCUGCUUAACACAUGCAAGUCGAACGCAACCUUCGGGUUGAGUGGCGGACGGGUGAGUAACGCGUGAGAAUCUGCCUUGGGGUCGGGGACAACCACUGGAAACGGUGGCUAAUACCGGAUAAGCCUUUGGGUAAAAAAUUUAUUGCCCCAAGAGGAGCUCGCGUCUGAUUAGCUAGUUGGUGAGGUAAAAGCUCACCAAGGCAGCGAUCAGUAGCUGGUCUGAGAGGACGAUCAGCCACACUGGGACUGAGACACGGCCCAGACUCCUACGGGAGGCAGCAGUGGGGAAUUUUCCGCAAUGGGCGAAAGCCCUGACGGAGCAAGACCGCGUGAGGGAGGAAGGCUCUUGGCUUGUAAACCUCUUUUCUCAGGGAAGAAGCUCUGACGGUACCUGAGGAAUCAGCCUCGGCUAACUCCGUGCCAGCAGCCGCGGUAAUACGGAGGAGGCAAGCGUUAUCCGGAAUUAUUGGGCGUAAAGCGUCCGCAGGUGGCGAUUCAAGUCUGCUGUCAAAGCACGGGGCUUAACUCCGUUAAGGCAGUGGAAACUGAAUAGCUAGAGUGCCGUAGGGGUAGAGGGAAUUCCCGGUGUAGCGGUGAAAUGCGUAGAGAUCGGGAAGAACAUCGGUGGCGAAAGCGCUCUACUGGACGGCAACUGACACUCAGGGACGAAAGCUAGGGGAGCGAAUGGGAUUAGAUACCCCAGUAGUCCUAGCU